AACAUCGCGCACCUGCGGGAACCUGCGGAAGGAUCAUUACCGAGUUUACAACUCCCAAACCCAUGUGAACAUACCUAUCGUUGCUUCGGCGGAUCGCCCCGGGCGCCUUGCGUGCCCCGGAUCCAGGCGGCCGCCGGGGGACCUUAACUCUUGUUUUUACUGAGAAUCUUCUGAGUCGUUUUUACAAAUAAAUAAAAACUUUCAACAACGGAUCU
rnacentral:misc_RNA from 1 species